rnacentral:rRNA from 1 species
GAUGGACGCUGGCGGCGUGCCUAAUACAUGCAAGUCGAGCGAACAGACGAGGAGCUUGCUCCUCUGACGUUAGCGGCGGACGGGUGAGUAACACGUGGAUAACCUACCUAUAAGACUGGGAUAACUUCGGGAAACCGGAGCUAAUACUGGAUAAUAUAUUGAACCGCAUGGUUCAAUAGUGAAUGACGGCUUUGCUGUCACUUAUAGAUGGAUCCGCGCCGCAUUAGCUAGUUGGUAAGGUAACGGCUUACCAAGGCAACGAUGCGUAGCCGACCUGAGAGGAUGAUCGGCCACACUGGAACUGAGACACGGUCCAGACUCCUACGGGAGGCAGCAGUAGGGAAUCUUCCGCAAUGGGCGAAAGCCUGACGGAGCAACGCCGCGUGAGUGAUGAAGGUCUUCGGAUCGUAAAGCUCUGUUAUUGGGAAAGAACAGAUGUGUAAGUAACUAUGCACGUCUUGACGGUACCUAAUCAGAAAGCCACGGCUAACUACGUG